rnacentral:ncRNA from 1 species
AUGAUGAUUCGUGCCACUGCGAAUCCACUCUGCGACAUACGUCGAGACGAGCUCGACCACUAGCGC